rnacentral:lncRNA from 1 species
UUAGAGCUUUCGAGCUGAUAAUACCAUUCCAACUGUGUGCCAGAUAGACUCUCUUGGAAGAAAUGGAUCCAUAGCUUCCUAUCAGUGGUAUACGGCUGAAUCUUUCUCACAUAAGCUCUUAGAUGCAUCUGAGGACAAGAUGCCCCAUCGUAUUUAGUGAACGUGGGGAUCUUGAAUUUGCGAGGAAUGACCACAUCAGAGACUAGACCCAGGCUUUCGAAAUCCAGACCGGGCGCCUUCUGACCCUCCAUAGCUAGCAUACGUUCUUC